GGCCUUUAGCCCCCAAAGUAUUAAAGGUCCAGCCUGCCCAGUGAAACUCAUUUUUAACGGCCGCGGUAUCCUAACCGUGCAAAGGUAGCGUAAUCAUUUGUCCUCUAAAUAAGGACCUGUAUGAACGGCUAACUGAGGACAGAACUGUCUCCUGCGACCACUCAAUGAAACUGCUCUCCCAGUACAAAAGCUGGGCUACCCCCAUAAGACGAGAAGACCCUGUGGAGCUUAAAACCCGCCCCACUCCAAGAACACAAAAGCCCCCGGGCUCCCUCCCUCCCCCUGACAAGCUGGUUUUCAGUUGGGGCGACUAUGGAAUAAAAUAAAACUUCCACGAAAACAUUCGCACAAAAGGCCCACACGCCUACAGCGCAUAAAUCUUCUGACCCAGCAUAGCUGAGCACCGAACCAAGUUACCCCAGGGAUAACAGCGCAAUCCUCCCUUAGAGUCCAUAUCACCAGGAGGGUUUACGACCUCGAUGUUGGAUCAGGACACCCAAGUGGUGCAGCCGCCACUAAAGGUUCGUUUGUUCAACGACUAAUGUCCU
rnacentral:rRNA from 1 species